ensembl:misc_RNA Y_RNA Y RNA
GGCUGGUCUGAGCGCAGUGGUGCUUACAACUAAUUGAUCACAACCCAUUACAGAUUACUUUGUUCCUCUCCACUCCCAUUGCUUCACUUGACUAGCCUUUA